GCCUUCGUGGUGUAGUGGUCAGCACGCUGGACGCGUAACCGAGAGAUCCGUGGUUCGAUUCCCGGCGCGGGCA
rnacentral:tRNA from 1 species